CCUGCAGCCGUAUGGCACAGGGCGGCCUCAACACAUCUCUGUGAGACAAAUGACGCGUCUUGUGCCCCAUACACUAUUGGCCCUGACCCAUUGGAAUGCACAGUUCUGUGUCCACUGCUCUGGAACACAUGCCGGUUCUCAUUAUGUAAUCAAGGUUUGACCUCCAAAUCAAUUUGAUCCUCUUGCCUGAGCCUCCUGAGUGCUGGGAUUUACAGGUAUACACUACCCAGCUACCCUCAGUGGUCUUUUUUUUUAUCUUUUAUUUUUAGAUAUUCAAACUUGCAAUCUUCCUGUCUCAGCCUCCCUCAGUACUAGUUGUUGUUGUUGUUUGGUGCUGGGGAUUGAACUUGGGACCCUGUGGAGACGAGGCAAGCACUCUACCACAGAGCUGCAUGUUCAGCCCAGUACUAGACUUACAGACAGGCAUUGCCACACCCAGCUCUGAGACUUCAGAAUGUUCAGCAUAGUCAAAUUCUUUCUUUUUUUAAUUUUCAUUUUUAUCAGUCCACAUCUGCAGCAAUACUGAUUACAUUCACCACAAGGAGUUGGUAUCUCUAUAUAAUGCAUCUGAAAUUCUUUUUACUUCCCCUCUAGCACAAAUUCGUUAAUCCAGAUGCCAUCUGUGUGAGAAUCUUCCGGGAAGAAUCUAAACUCAGUUGGGCAAGGUGGUACACACUUGUGAGCCUAGCAUUUUGGGAGUUUGAGGCACAAGAACCACAAGUUUGAGUGUACUCUGGGCAGUUUAGCAUUUUAGCAUGACCUGGUCUCAAAAGAAAGAAAUAGGGGGCCAUGGAUUUAGCUCAGUGGCACAGCGCCCACCUGGCAAGCAUGAGGUCCUGAGUUUGAUUAUCAGUACCAAAAAGAAAAAAGAAAAAGGAAGGAAAGAAAGAAAGAAAGGGAGAUAGAAAAGAGAAAAAAGGAAUCUGAGCCCAUGAGUAUUAUAAUGCCCGCCUAUAGUUCCCACACUUGGUUUGGGGGGAGGAGUGUUUUUAUGUUUUGUGUGCGCCAAGAACUGAACUCAGUGGCCUUACACUUGCCAGGCAGGCCCUGUGCCACUGAGCUGUGUCCCCUGCCCUAUGCUUGGGAGGCUGAGGCAGGAGGAUUGUUGAGAGCUCAAGGCUAGCUUGGGCCACACAGGGAGACCCUUUUUCAAAAAGCCAAAAAAGGAAAAGAAAAUAAGGGAGCAAAGUGAGGCCCUGUGAGUACAGCGUGGACAAGGGUGUGGAAAGGUCACUCUGUAGCCUCCCACCCCUCUGCCUCUGGUAGGGACCCCUCACCCGUUCCGUUUGACCCACUUCACCAAGGAGGCUGGCUUGGCACCUUGAGAGCAGAGAGAGGGUCUAUCGUUGUCCCAGUGAACUUGCUCAAGGAUCACUGGGUGAUGGAAGACAUGCCAGCGAGGCCUAGGGGACUCAGGAGGAUAGACAGGUGGUAGGUCUGGGCUCUGGGUGGACAGAUGACCAGGGGACACCCGGGUGGGGCACAGCACCUGGCUGAGAGCCCCAGGCCACCAGCCAGCUCAGUGGUUUCUGGUAGAAGGAGUGGACUGCUGCCUGCACCUGGCUUCCACCGGCCCUGGCCUCCCAGGGCAUCCCAGUGACCCAUCUCCCACCCUUCGAUGCACCUCCUCAGCCCUCUCUCCCGGCUGGGCUCUUCCCACAGUGUGUGGCCAGGACUCAUUUGCAUAGGACCCCAGGUGAUUCUCGCCACAGACCAGCUUCCCAGAACUGCAGAGCUACCCAGGAUCCAGCAGGGCUUGUUGGUCUGCAGGGGUCAGAAGAGAUGACUGACAACUGCUGGAAACUAACUACCCUCAUCCCCCUCCCUCACUGGAAAUCUGAACCAAAGAUGGGAUGCUUCUCAGGCGUUGGGGUGGGAAGACCCUCCUUGGGUCACCCAGAGUCACCUCCAUCAGCCCGCCCCCAGCCUCCAAGGGUCCUGGCACUCCUACCAAGCCAGUCCCCAGAGGGCAGCAGGAAUCUGAGGAGCCAGUGGGUGAGUGGGUGGGUAGAGUGUUUUCUUUCCCCUCCCCUUCUCGGCAGAUUUCUGGGAAAUGCCAGAGGCCGGCUAGGCCUGGAAUGUCAGGCUUGAAAGGACUCUUCCACUACCGCCUGCCUCAAACCUUUUCAUUAGCUCUGCGGCCCCUCCCGGCUAGAACAAAGGCCCACAAACUGGAAUGCCGCUUCCCGGCCACAGGCCAUUGUCCGUGCCUCCUCCUUGGCCCACCCCUCGGGUUUUCUCUGAGGCAGGAAAGAGAGCCAGAGAGGAGGGCUGCCCUCAGUCCUGGUGACCCCGAGGAGCGGCAGAUUCCCUUGCACAGCUGGAGCACAGUGACCUGUGGCAGGCCACCUCCUGCACAUUAGAAAGCCCAGGGUAACCUGGAAGACAAGGAAGCCUUGGACUUAACCUCUAGCAGUACUGUGGUCAGAGGCCGGUCUUCGCAUCCUCUGGCUGCAGAGCUGGUGACAGUGGCCAUCUCAGUACUCCCCAAGGGCCAGCUGCAGGAAACGUGCCCAGUGCCCACUGAGCUGUGCCAUUCCUCUGGUGCCAGGGCUCCUUCCCCUCUGUGAGGUUUGGGGAAGAGCUCAGUGUCGGUCACGUGAGUGGAGGCUAAACCACUCUGUACUUCCCCUCUGUCGUGAAUGAUUAUCUUUAUGACCAAGCACCUUUGCCUGGAAAUGGGAUUCUGACUUCAUAGAAGUUCUGCAAAGGGAGAGAUUAGGAAAAGGCCCGAGCCUCCCAAAUCCGCUGGAUGGGAAAGUGGGGUAGAACAGAAGACCCCAACCCGGAAACCCACUCUCCCAUGAAGCCACUGGCCAAUAAGGGGAGAAAGAAGCAGCCGGCCUUUAGCUCUGGCCUGGGUCUGGCGUCUCUCUGCUCCGGUCCCUGCCUGGAAGUGGGUUCCUGGAAAUGUGCCCUGAAUUGGCCUGAGUGUCUCCUCCCACUUUUCCAGCAUGUUUGUCUUUAGAUUAGCAGGCCAAUAACUCCAGCAAACCAGUGGUGGCUUCCCAGAACCCACACCCUCCAGCCCAUCUGUGCAGCUGCUCCCCAGCCCUGCAGGGAGAAGCCAGAGGCUACUCCAGGAGAAAGCAGUGAUAUCAAAAAUUGAUGGGAACCGGGCGUGGUGGCACACGCCUGUAAUUCCAGCACUUGGAAGGCUGAGGCAGGAGGGUUACUGAGGGCUCAAGGCCAGCCUGGGCUCGCUCCAUAGCGAGUUGAAGCCCAUCCUGAACUACAUAGUGAGACUCUGUCUCAAAAAAAAAAAAUAUAUAUAUAUAUAUGGAAAACAUAAGCCUACAGCACACCUUAAAGACUCACGAAGCUCUUUCUAUAUCCCAGGCUCUAGGACUACAAAGAAAAUAAAUCUGUACUGUGGAGUUUGAGGCAGGAUCCCAGCUUGAGGCCAGCCCAGGCAACUUAGUGAAGCCCUGUAUAAAAUUUAAAAAAUAAAAAUGAAACCAGGUACCAUGGUACAUGCCUGUAAUCCCAGCUACUGGAGAGGCUGAGGCAGGAUGAUCUAAAGUUCAAGGCCAGCCUGGAGAAUUUUGGAAGAUUCUAUCUCAAAAUAAGAUAAAAAGGGUUUCAGAUGUAGCUCAGUACUCCCUGGGUUCAAUCCCCAAUGCCAUAAAUUAAAUACAUAGGGCUGGGGCGGCCUUGAUGACAGGGCAAUUGCCUAGUGCAUGGGGAGCCCUGAGCAACACAGAAAGCGGGCUGGGCAGGGCAGGGCAGGGCAGGGCAGGGCAGCGGUAUUUUGGUUAGCGUUUUAGUGUGGAAAGAGCAACUCAAGGAGUCUCCAGUAAGUGUCCAACAAAUCUGAGAGGAAAACUGCAGGCCUGGACGGUGGGGUACCACCUGUGUCCUGCACAUCUGGAAGUCCAGCUUCUUCCGGAGGGAGAUGUCCCCCCACUGUGAAGCUGACAGUCACCAGAGCCAGAGCCAGGCGCCAGCUCUCCUGAGCGCUUGGGCUUCCUCUCAAAGGCAAGGGAACCCCGGGAGAAAUUAGGAAACCAAAGAAAAACUUGGUGACAGAUUCAAAUGUUUGAAGACCAUCUGUAUCUGGAGUGUCUCUUGUAAGGCAGGGCUCCUCCAAACACAGCAGGAUAUACCCCCCACCCCAGGCCCCACCUGGUGUCCCUCUCUUCUACCCUCCUCAGACUCCUCAGUGUUUUCUAGACACAGCAAGAGCUGAGGCUGGGCAUGUAGUUCAGGAACAGAGCUCUCGUGCUCAGGAUGCUUGAGGCCCUCAGCGUCGUUAUUUAAGGAAUUAAUUUAUGUUUGUGUGUGUAUGUGACAGGGUCUUGCUACAUAAGCCAGGCUGGCCUUGAACUUGCUAUGUAGCUCAAACUGGCCUCAAACUCAGAAUCUUCCUGCCUCAGCCUCCCAAGUGCUAGGAUUACAGCAUUCUUCUCUUCAAAUCCCCACUAUUGAUGGGCAUGGUGAUGUAUGCCUGUAAUCCCAGUGCUCUUGAAGGCUGAAGCAAGAAGAUCCCUGCAAAUUCAAGGCCAGCCUGAACUGUAUAGCAAAAUCCUGUCUCAACAAAACAAAACAAAUCCCUAUACCCUCUUAGCCCCACCCUGAACUGCUUGUGCCCACCCCCCACCCCCACCCCUGCAGAACACAGCCCCCACGGGCCCUAUGCUGCUUUUGUAGCUUUCAGUUUACCUGUGUCAAAGGAAUGCAUCUGUCCCACCACAUUUGGAUUCCUUGGGUUCCAGGUCUACUGCCCCCCAGCCCCUGCCCCGGCCUCCAGGGUCAUAAUCACAAUCUCUGCCUCAUCAAGGCAUUUGGUGCUCAAUGAGCGCUCAGUGAGUGCAUGUGGAAUGGAUGAAUGAGCUUGACUUGUAUCAGAGCAGUAUAAUUUACAAAGCACUUUCCCAUCCAUUAACUCAGGGCUAUUCCCCAGAGUCCUCUCUGUCCUCUGCAGGACUCAGCAUGGGAGCCCAGGGGCACAGCAGCCCAGUAACACUCGGACUCUGAUGGGAGACAGGCAGACUCCACCCCAGAGCCAGCAAGCGCCUUGAGGACAACCAGAUCUGAAUUGCUUGUGCUCUCCCCAUGCAGGCUCUGCGGAGCCGGAUUUGUGAAAUGUGCUGAAUAGAUCCAUUUUCCUUCUGCAGA